CAACGUCCGGUGAGGGGGCAGGACUUCCUUGCUGGUUGCUAAGACACUCUUGUUUGCUCCUUGACAACCCUGGCGGGGGUGCGCUGGCUGCGGCCCCGGCUCCGGCCCCCGCGGGAGCAGCACCCCUUGGGGAAAGACAAGUUGGCAGGGCGUGCUUCCUGAGUCUCCUAGGCGUCCUCGUUGCCAGUGCCGGCACCUUCUGAGAGCCCCACUCUCUCCUCCCGGGAAGGAUCAUGGGAGAAACAGAAGGGAAGAAGGAUGAGGCGGACUAUAAGCGCCUGCAGACCUUCCCUCUGGUCAGGCACUCGGACAUGCCAGAGGAGAUGCGAGUGGAAACCAUGGAGCUGUGUGUCACAGCCUGUGAGAAAUUCUCCAACAACAACGAGAGCGCCGCCAAGAUGAUCAAAGAGACCAUGGACAAGAAGUUCGGCUCCUCCUGGCACGUGGUGAUCGGCGAGGGCUUCGGGUUUGAGAUCACUCACGAGGAUGAGCUCCUUCCUCUGAUCCCUGUGCAAGGCUCGUCUAGCUGCUGCUGACAGUGCGGGGCGACCUCUUGUGGUCACGUGUGGGUAUGGCAUGGUUCACCUGCUCCUGCCCUGGUGGUGGCAUGGUGGGGGGGCCGUGCUGGGGGCAGGAGAGGAUAGGACAGGCUGGAGGGCAAAACGGCCCUCGAAGAUCGACCUCCACACCACACUGCCACUUCCUCCAAAGAGUCAUUCCCAGGUUCCUGCCUAGGAUCCAAACCCCAAUCCCUGAGCGCCUCCCUCCACACCGGGCACCUCCCUGGAGCUCCGGGGGAGGUGCAGUGACCCAGACUCCCCCCAGAGGACCAGGUACACAGCUGGUUGAGAUGCUUGUAAUAAGGGUCCUUGUGCAGAUCGGGGGCCAUCCCAGAAUUUCCUUUCUCAGCCCUUCUGGGCUUUUCUGAGGUUUGCCUGCUGGUCUACCUAGGGGACAGACACUGCUCUUUAGCCACCCACCGGCAACCUGGGACGGCCACCCUCAGCCCCAGAGGAAAUGCAGGCAGGGCCAGUCCCCUCAGCCAGCUCAGUCUUCCCGAAAGUCAGCAGACACCCUAGGAGCACCUCACCCUGUGGCCUGCCUCCCCAGCUUACAGUCUCCCUGGGAACAGCUCCUCGCCCUGUUCUGCACGCCCAAAAUAACCCCGUCCCAGAGCGUUCCUCCUCCACCCCCGCUCACAUCUGUGAGGACAAGGUGAGGAACCUGAAGCCCAGAGAAGUUCAGUGCCCUGACCCGGGUCACACAGCCUAGGGAGGCUGUGCCAAGCAGUGUUCUUGAGAGACCCACUUUCCUGGACCUCUGCCCUUGAUUCUGGAAUGGCUAGCCCAGGACUGUCUGGAAGGGAGCCAGAUAGGAGGGGAGGGUUCCUUUAAGUUCAAGGCCUUCUAAUUCCAUCCUUCCCAGAGUCCUUCGAGGCAGAUGUCAUCAUCCCACUUUUAACAGUUGCAGAAACCAAGGCCCAGGGAGGCGAGGCCACGCCCUGGUCACCUGGCUGCCUCCCAAGUGGGGGAGAGAGGCCGGGGCUGCUCCCUCCACCAGGACCAGCCGUGGCCGCCUCUGGGCUAGCGUGGCACUCCCCAGGCAUCCCCAGUUCCCGGGACCGUGGGGUGGAGGGCCCCUAGGGAAUGGGCCGUGCGCCUAAGUGGGUGACCAGUUCCGGGCAGAGGGAGGGCAAGAGCGAGGCCAAGGCAGACAAGGUGGAAGGACCUCCCGCUGCUGGAGAGAUCCAGGAAGCAGCCCUCUCCCCGCGGAGGAGGCUGAGCCAAUCCUUCCCUGAGUGAAAGGAGCAGGUUGAGCCCAGGUCCAAGUCUGCUGGGACCCCCGCGGCCCUUUCCAUGACGCCCCAAGCCCGUCAGGCAGUGCCUCCCUCCUGGGCGGCCUGGCCUGGCCAUCGCGCCUUGCUGGGGCAGCAGGGGCCAGACUUGCCCUCCCUUGCCUGGCACGGCUCAGCCGGGAGAUGCACCCGGACGAGGGGGCCUGGGCCCAGCGCUCCGCCUGCUCAGCCUCACUGACACGACAGUCCUCGACUCAGGUGCCAGCCCUGCGGCCAGGGAAUCCCCGGGGUCAAGCCAACAGAGAGGAGCAGCUGUCGUCGCAGUGGGACAGUGGACAGGGAGCCUCUCCUCAGAUCUUGGGAACAUUCUAGCAAACUGUUGCAUGGGCCGAGGUCACAGCAGCUGCUCAGCUUGGGUGGCACCCAGGCCCACCUGCUCUUGGUGGGGAGCGGGGACCUGGAUCAGCAUCAGAACACGUUCAAAAGUCUGGUAAUGAAGGUGGUGCUCGCCUGCAAUCCCAGCAACUCAGGAGGCUGAGGCAAGAGGAAGG